AGGGAGGAGCUGGGGGGCUGAGGGAGGAGCUAAAGGAGGAGCUGAGGGGGCUGCUGGGCGGGCGCUGAGGAGGGGGGAGCUGGGGGCCGCAGAGAGGAGAGCUGAGAUGGCAGCUGAAGGAGGCGCUGAAGAGGCAGCUGAGAGGGCAUCUUGAGGGAGGAGCUGAGGGAGAUGGGCUAGGUGCGGGGCUCGCAGGGCUCAGCAGCCGGAGCGCCGCCGCCGCCGCCGCCGCCGCCGCCCCAACCCCGCACUCAGAGCAGCCUCGGCGGCACUCCAGAAUCCUGACUAGGCGGCCGCGCGACGUGAUGACGUGUUGCAGCUCGAGGACCUCCCCUGUCCGAGCAAACGUCACGUCAGGAGGCGGCACCGAGCGGCCAGGGUUACCUGAGUUGCUCACCCUGGUGCUGCUCGAGAAAACCGAAAAGAACCAGCAGGAUUCGCCCCUCGGAGAAGACCCGCCUUCCUGCUGCGGAGAGAACCUUUCUGCCGGGUGUCCCAGCCCUAAGUGAGAGGAUUUUUACUUCUGUGAUCCAAAGACCGGUGGAAGGAACUUGUGGGACGGCCAGAGGUUGGACACAGUGAGGAAACUGCAAAGGCUUCUCCUAAAGCGCUUCCACCGACCACCAGGCCCUGUGCUGAGGGUUUAGGAAUUUUGCUUCUCACUGAUUUGGGUUCGCUUAGGGACAGAAGAAAAAGAUGUUCCUUGGCCCAGCUUACAUGAAUGACCAAUGUGAUUAUUCAGUCUUUCUCUGUGAGACUUUUGAUUCCUGAGGAUAAUAAAAUAUAGUCAAAUGGGCAGCUUUCUAAUUUUAUGUAGCGU
ensembl:lincRNA